rnacentral:misc_RNA from 1 species
GAUGAAGAACGUAGCGAAAUGCGAUAAGUAAUGUGAAUUGCAGAAUUCAGUGAAUCAUCGAAUCUUUGAACGCACAUUGCGCCCUCUGGUAUUCCGGGGGGCAUGCCUGUUCGAGCGUCAUUAUAACCACUCAAGCUCUCGCUUGGUAUUGGGGUUCGCGGUUUCGCGGCCCCUAAAAUCAGUGGCGGUGCCUGUCGGCUCUACGCGUAGUAAUACUUCUCGCGAUUGAGUUCGAUAGGUCUACUUACCAGUAACCCCCAAUUUUUACAGGUUGACCUCGGAUCAGGUAGGGAUACCCGCUGAACUUAAGCAUAUCAAUAAGCGGAGGA